rnacentral:tRNA from 1 species
GUCAGCGUGGUGUAGUGGUUUGAGCGUUGGACUAUAGCUCUGGAGACCAGGGUUCAAAUCCUCGCUUGGCCA